rnacentral:rRNA from 1 species
AGAGUUUGAUCCUGGCUCAGGAUGAACGCUGGCGGCGUGCCUAAUACAUGCAAGUCGAGCGAACUGAUUAGAAGCUUGCUUCUAUGACGUUAGCGGCGGACGGGUGAGUAACACGUGGGCAACCUGCCUGUAAGACUGGGAUAACUUCGGGAAACCGAAGCUAAUACCGGAUAGGAUCUUCUCCUUCAUGGGAGAUGAUUGAAAGAUGGUUUCGGCUAUCACUUACAGAUGGGCCCGCGGUGCAUUAGCUAGUUGGUGGGGUAACGGCUCACCAAGGCAACGAUGCAUAGCCGACCUGAGAGGGUGAUCGGCCACACUGGAACUGAGACACGGCCCAGACUCCUACGGGAGGCAGCAGUAGGGAAUCUUCCGCAAUGGACGAAAGUCUGACGGAGCAACGCCGCGUGAGUGAUGAAGGCUUUCGGGUCGUAAAACUCUGUUGUUAGGGAAGAACAAGUACAAGAGUAACUGCUUGUACCUUGACGGUACCUAACCAGAAAGCCACGGCUAACUACGUGCCAGCAGCCGCGGUAAUACGUAGGUGGCAAGCGUUAUCCGGAAUUAUUGGGCGUAAAGCGCGCGCAGGCGGUUUCUUAAGUCUGAUGUGAAAGCCCACGGCUCAACCGUGGAGGGUCAUUGGAAACUGGGGAACUUGAGUGCAGAAGAGAAAAGCGGAAUUCCACGUGUAGCGGUGAAAUGCGUAGAGAUGUGGAGGAACACCAGUGGCGAAGGCGGCUUUUUGGUCUGUAACUGACGCUGAGGCGCGAAAGCGUGGGGAGCAAACAGGAUUAGAUACCCUGGUAGUCCACGCCGUAAACGAUGAGUGCUAAGUGUUAGAGGGUUUCCGCCCUUUAGUGCUGCAGCUAACGCAUUAAGCACUCCGCCUGGGGAGUACGGUCGCAAGACUGAAACUCAAAGGAAUUGACGGGGGCCCGCACAAGCGGUGGAGCAUGGUGGUUUAAUUCGAGCAACGCGAGACCUUACCAGGUCUUGACAUCCUCUGACAACUCUAGAGAUAGAGCGUUCCCUUCAGGGGACAGAGUGACAGGUGGUGCAUG